UAGGAAUCUUCCACAAUGGACGAAAGUCUGAUGGAGCAACGCCGCGUGAGUGAAGAAGGGUUUCGGCUCGUAAAGCUCUGUUGGUAGUGAAGAAAGAUAGAGGUAGUAACUGGCCUUUAUUUGACGGUAAUUACUUAGAAAGUCACGGCUAACUACGUGCC
rnacentral:rRNA from 1 species